ACUCCUACGGGAGGCAGCAGUGGGGAAUAUUGCACAAUGGGCGCAAGCCUGAUGCAGCCAUGCCGCGUGUGUGAAGAAGGCCUUCGGGUUGUAAAGCACUUUCAGUUGUGAGGAAGGUGGUGUCGUUAAUAGCGGCAUCAUUUGACGUUAGCAACAGAAGAAGCACCGGCUAACUCCGUGCCAGCAGCCGCGGUAAUACGGAGGGUGCGAGCGUUAUCCGGAUUUAUUGGGUUUAAAGGGUCCGUAGGCGGAUUAAUAAGUCAGUGGUGAAAUCCCAUCGCUUAACGAUGGAACUGCCAUUGAUACUGUUAGUCUUGAAUGAGGGUGCAGUGGUUGGAAUGUGUAGUGUAGCGGUGAAAUGCAUAGAUAUUACACAGAACACCGAUUGCAAGGCAGAUCACUAACCCUAAAUUGACGCUGAGGGACGAAAGCGUGGGGAGCGAACAGGAUUAGAUACCCUGGUAGCACAGAG
rnacentral:rRNA from 1 species